UCCUACACCGUGCCAUUUGCCUGACUAGA
rnacentral:piRNA from 1 species